AUAAUUAAUAUAAUCCACCUUGAUAUUAAGUAUAUUUAAUCAAUGGUAUUAUCAAUGAUCACAGUACUAUCACAGAAUAUUUAUUUYGUGGUGUCAUAUUAUCUUGUAUCAUAACAUUCAUAACAUUCAAAUAUUUCAAUAUUUAUUAAUUUAAGAUAUAAAAAAACAAAAAGGAACUACAAAAUGAUGAUCAAAUUGUAAGUCACAAAUAUUUACAAGACAACACACGGUGUCAGGGGAGGCAGUAUAUGCUGAUCUACGGUUUUUGGAAUAUAACAAAAGACAUGCAUGAUUGGAUGCCGGUUGUUGGAAAUACAGAUCUGAAAGAUGUUCAUUACAUAUAUUUGUUCUAUGUAUUAUUUAUUAAUGUUAUAUUUUUAAUACUUAUAAUUUUCCAGUAAAUAUAUACAUGAAUAUUAUGCGCUUAAUAUACAUUGGUAUGAAUACCAAAUUAUGAGUUUUA